CAGUGACACGGACGCAACGAUCCUCGGGCGCCACAGCUACACGGUCGCCCGUCGGGUCGACAGGGGCAUCCUAAGGGGCUUCCUGACGGCUCGAUGGCUCGAGGGGAGCGAGUGGCGAGACCGGCCGUGAGACGA
rnacentral:ncRNA from 1 species